rnacentral:rRNA from 1 species
CCUACGGGAGGCAGCAGUGAGGAAUUUUCCGCAAUGGGCGAAAGCCUGACGGAGCAAUACCGCGUGAGGGAUGAAGGAUUUUGGUCUGUAAACCUCUUUUCUCAAGAAAGAAGUUCUGACGGUACUUGAGGAAUAAGCAUCGGCUAGCUCCGUGCCAGCAGCCGCGGUAAUACGGGGGAUGCAAGCGUUAUCCGGAAUGAUUGGGCGUAAAGCGCCUGUAGGUUGUUUAUUAAGUCCGUUGUUAAAGCCUAGGGCUUAACCCUAGAAAAGCAAUGGAAACUAGUAGACUAGAGUAUGGCAGGGGUAGAGGGAAUUUCUAGUGUAGCGGUGAAAUGCGUAGAUAUUAGAAAGAACACCGGUGGCGAAAGCGCUCUACUGGACCAUUACUGACACUCAGAGGCGAAAGCUAGGGUAGCAAAAGGGAUUAGAUACCCCUGUAGUCCUAGCCGUAAACGAUGGAUACUAGAUGUUGUGCAUUAUGUACAGUAUCGUAGCUAACGCGUUAAGUAUCCCGCCUGGGGAGUACGCUCGCAAGGGUGAAACUCAAAUGAAUUGACGGCUGAGAGNGCGACGACGACACGAGGGAGAG